rnacentral:lncRNA from 1 species
UUUUUGUAGAGACAGAGUCUUGCUAUGUUGCCCAGGCUGGUCUCAAACGCCUGGCCUCAAGAGAUCCUCCUGCCUCAGGCUCCCAACAUGCUGGAAUUACAGAUGUGAGCCACGCGCCUGGCAAGAACCUUCUAUCUUACACCACUCUUGUGGGGCUGUCCUCUUCUCAGAGCCCACUGCACAGAUAGCUGCUUUGCACACACAAAUAGAACCUUCAAGUCUCAGCUCAGGGGUUUCUGUACAUUUCUGUAUUUGCAGCACUCAUUUUCCUGGCUUGAGGGCAAAUUAAUAGGAUGACAAACUGACUUCUGGAGUAGUUGAGGCUGUAAUACUCAAGGCUGCAUGAAGGAGCACCCAGAAAGGAUUCUAACAAG